rnacentral:sRNA from 1 species
UUUUCUUUUGAAGUAAUUAAUGGCCCAACACAAAAUUUGGGUCACAGACUGACAUAUUUAGGGCUGUGAUGACAUGUACGUGUUGUAACUAACAAAUUGGGAUUUUAUUUACACUGAAAAUGUCAAUUAAUCUGUGUUGUUAAAGUUUGGUUUCAUUUUGUAAAAGAGAAAGUAAAUUAAAAUUACAUGGAGAUGGUGCAUAAUGAGAAUCUCAGCAGUUUUGUAGUGUGACACAUAACAAAGUGUUUUGUGUUUGAAUUUCCUGUGUGGUUAUAAUAACAUGACGAUUUUCUGUCCAUAAACAUGGUGUUCAGUGUGAAAUGAUACUACUUGUACCUAAAUGUCUUUCAUAUUUUAUAUGGCCAUUGCCAACAAAUUAUUCGGAAAAAUUAUCAAGUGAAAACAGAGUAGUGUGUUUUUAGAAGAUGGAAGGCAAUUGGAAUAAUCUUGUCUAACCCCUAAUUUGUGUUUAUAACGGAGUUCAUGCCAACCUAUAUACUUCAUAGAAAUUUCAUAGAAACGUGUCUAACUGAGUCAGUUAUGUGGUACAUGUAAUUGUUUUCCAUUGUGUGUUAACAUCAAUAGUAGACCAAGAUCAGUCAUUCUCUCACAUUCGAUACUCACUUUAAGAAGAAUUAAUAAUCAAGUGCUUUGCUUUAUGUCCAAGGUAUCUUUGCUGAAGAUAAAUGGAUCAAAGAGCAAACAGUGGUGACAAGUUGGGGUCCAUUUUAUUUACUUGCUGAUUACUUAUUGGGGGUUUGUGUAUUUUUUGUUUUUAUUAAAAAGAAAACUAUUUGCCAGAUAAUUUUUGACCUUUGUUUAUCCUGACCAUUCUGUUUUUCUUUUAACCAGAACAUUUUGUGUUGUGAUAUUUUUAAUCUCUGUAUAUAUCUCAUUGUAUAUGACUUCCAAGAUGGGUUGGGGAGUAUAGUAUGAUGUGUUUAUGUAUGUGUAGGAGAUGUGAUUUAUGUAUAGCUUAUCUAAGCAGAGACAAAAUAUAUGUACUUCACCAUAGGACAUUAUUACAAAGUAGGUCAGAGUUCUAUCCUCUUUGAUGAUUUUAGGAUAUAAUGUAAUAAUUUGAUUAGAAUAUUAUUCAUCCUUGUGAGUGCCAAAUUUAUGUGUACUGUUUAGAUAUUUUUAAAUAAUUAUACAUGUACAUGUAAUAUAUUAAAUUUAUUAUUAGCUGUAGGAAAUGAAUGUAUUCUAAUUUGUUGAUUUUUUUUUUCUCCUUCAAAGUUGUACUUAAAAAAUAGCAUCGUUAAAUUUAUUUAAAUGUUCUCAAUUUUUCGUAACUACUGCACAUAAUUUUAAAAAAACAUUCUUUUAGAAUUAAAAUAAAUUUGGAUUCUUGUUGAAAUUGUUACACAGGUGUGUGAUUUCAAUCAGGACUAGAUUAAUGAGUGUAUGAAUUGAGGGGUCGCCUGGCGACGAUUUGGUAAAGGUGCUAUCUUGAAGGAGCAGGCUUGUUUUGAUUGGUUACUGUUUUUAUUUCCUUUGAGGACCUCUAUGCAUCAGACCAGAGAUAUGUAUAUAUCUACUGGAGUCUGUUAUUGAUUAAAACAAUUAAAGAAUCAGAAAAACU